UUGGAUGGUUAUAAUAAGCUACAAGGUGUGAGAAAGAAAACCAAAGCAGAAUGGAUUUAUCCCAUUUCUCAGAGACAACCUUCACAUUAUGAGUGCGGCUACUAUGUCAUGAUACAUAUGUUGAACAUUGUAUUUAGUGGUGUUAUUGACUCAUGGAAACAAAUAUUUGGAGAAUCAAACUCGUUUCCUAAGGAUGAAGUAAAAAAAGUUCAAGAACGUUGUGCAAAUAUGAUCCUUGAACUUAUUGAAGCAAGUGAGGACAAUGAUGUGGAUUGGUGAAGUAAGUGAGAAAAAUAACGAGGAUCUGUGUUUUGUAUUCAGUGACAAAUAGUUGCAUUUUAUUACAUUGCUCUAUUUAAUAUAGAAGUUAUAUUCAAG